UAUUUUAUUUUAUUUUAGUUAUUUUGCCUUUGCUCAGAGAAUUUUAGCUUUAAAAUUCUGUCACCCAGCCUUUGUAGAUGCCACACCCAGUGGGUGUCAAUGUCCCUCCACAGCCUCUGUCACCUGGCCUUCAUAAACACCAUGCCAAGUGGGUGUUGUUGUCCCUCCACAGCCUCUGUCACCUGGCCUUGACAUAUGGUCACCGCGUUGUCAGCUUAUCCUUCUAGGUUCUCUCCCAGGGUCUCCGAGGAGAGGGCUUUGCCUGAAACCGAUACAGGCCAUCCACUACCUCCUGAACCUCCACACUCCCUUUCCUCAGAGUUGGCCCUAGAAUGUUCUUUCUGGCUGCAACAUCUCUCCUCAGUCGGUCUAUGAAAACCCUACACUGUCCAGGCUGUCUGUCUUCAAGUGACCCUUUAGGAAGACAUGGUCUCACAUCCCCAUUCAGAACGUGCUCCACU
rnacentral:lncRNA from 1 species